AAGGACGGGAAAGCCGACCUUUUAUCCUUUUGCUUCCAGAAACAACGAGCUCUCUCUUGCAGAAACCACAAGCUCUAUUCUUCCCUGUUUUUCUUCUCAGCAUCUUACAAAACUAUUUCUUUCUUCAUAUUCUCUUUAUGUUUGGCUGAAAUCCUGAGUUGCCGACUCCCACUGUCUUCCUUCCCGACUUGAGUCAUCGGAAUGCGGAAGACAAUGAAUACGAAGAAGGGGUUGAACCAACACUAGAAUUUGUGAUGACAAAGAAGGACAUAACUGGGAGUGUAGCUCCGGCUACUUUGCUGGUUUUUAAUAAUAAGGUUGGAUUUUCCAGGAAGAAUAUGGACUCGAUCUGCAGUGUAGGACGUUCUACAAAGAAGGGGAAGAGACAACAGGUUUAUUGGAGAAAAAGUGUUUCCAUUUUUUGGUGCAAAGCUCCACGAUUGGCUAGCGUGAAUCUUGGUAUCUUCAUAUGCAUGCAAUGUUCAGGGAUCCAUAAGAGUCUUGGGGUACAUAUAUCAAAUGUGAGAUCUGCCACUUUGGAUACAUGACUCCCAUAGCAGGUUGCAUAUAUCCAAUGUAAUUACCAAUGCUGUUUUACCGGCUUCUUUCCAUUCUGGUAGUAAGGUCAUAUCUCUGUCAAGCAAGGUCGUAUUGAGUGAGAACACCAAGGGCACUCUCUCUUACCCUCACUGACCCACAUUUAAAAAGGGGCACAUUAUGUUUGCACCCUAUUUUCUCAUAUCUCUGUAAAUUUAGCCUGCUGCCGGCAACAGUCGUGGUAGAAGUGGAGGAAAUGACGGUGGUAAUUGAGGUGGAGUGGUAACAGGAGAGGUAGCAGGAGGCAGUGACUAUUGCGGCGAAGACAUUGUUGGUUGCAUGGGUUUUAUUGAAAACAAACUUAUACAUCCCAACGCAAAAGGAGAGAGGAGGCAAUGGAUGGCUUUGUUGAUAACGCACUUCUCUUUGGAAAGAAACAUGUUUGGUCUUCAAUCCACCAUUUAAAUGUGAAAGAGGAAGUUCCCCUCUCACAUGGUUAGAGCUGUAGAGGGGGAGUUCAAAGUCAAGAGGAGGGGCGUAAGCACAUAUUAAGUUUUUGUAUCUCAAUCUGAUUGUUUGAUUUUGGUUGUAUACAUCAUGGGUUGAGUGAUGCAGGUGAAGCUUUGUUUUAGGACCAUCUUGGAGAAGUAUUCUUUGUUGAGCUGCUAGAAAAUGGUCACUCAGUCUCUCAAGGGGGCAGCUUUGGAUUGCCUUUCCAGAAUGUUGAGGUGGUCAUUGAAAUUAAACUAAUUAAAACAUUAUUUGAUAAUUUUGGCAUAUGAAUUUUAAUUGGUAUUGAUUUUUUUUCACAACUUUUGGAACGACAAGAUGGGACUACCAAGUCCAGAGGUCAGAUGGUCCAAGUCCAGAGGUCGGAUGGUCAUCUAAGGUGCUGUUAGUCUUGCUCUCCAAAUGACUCUCAUGAAUGUGAACCUUGAUCAAACGUGCAGAAUAUUUGAGCAUAUUUGAGCAGAUAGUUUAUCCGGUAAAGGUUCUUUGAAAUUUCUGCAGGUAUUUUUGGAAAAAGAGUGAUAUGUCAGCAUAGUCAUGGUAUAUGACAAUGAUAAUUUGAAGAACCAUUUAAAGUAUUUUGAUAUUGCAGCAGAAGGCAGACUUUGAAGAGUUCACGCUGCACAGAAAGAUGAUGAAAUGCUACCCAUUGAAUCCAUCGUUGCUCCAUUGGAGUCGAAGCUUAAGCUUGCUGCAGGAGGUAUACUUCUGUUCUGCAAUAUGACCCCUUUAAUUUGUUUGUACAUGGGAGGUAUAGAGUGUUCAAUGUGUAUUUGGUUUCCAUAUUGUUUAUGGAUCUAUCGACUCAUUUAUUACAUGAAUCAAUAAUUAUAACGAGUUAAUUUUUUUUUACAUGAGCACAA